rnacentral:rRNA from 1 species
GGGUGAGUAACACGUAGGAAUCUGCCCAACGGUGGGGGACAACCCGGAGAAAUCCGGGCUAAUACCGCAUACGCCCUACGGGGGAAAGCGGGGGACCUUCGGGCCUCGCGCUGUUGGAAGAGCCUGCGUCAGAUUAGCUUGUUGGUGAGGUAACGGCUCACCAAGGCGACGAUCCGUAGCUGGUCUGAGAGGAUGAUCACCCACACUGGGACUGAGACACGGCCCACACUCCUACGGGAGGCAGCAGUGGGGAAUAUUGCACAGUGGGCGAAAGCCUGAUGCAGCCAUACCGCGUGGGUGAAGAAGGCCUUAGGGUUGUAAAGCCCUUUCAGCGGGGAAGAAAGGCACGGGGAUAAUACCCUCGUUUCUUGACGGUACCUGAAUAAGAAGCACCGGCUAACUCCGUGCCAGCAGCCGCGGUAAUACUGAGGGUGCAAGCGUUAAUCGGAAUUACUGGGCGUAAAGCGCGCGUA